AAUUAGAUACCCAGGUAGUCCACGCCGUAAACGAUGUCGACUUGGAGGUUGUUCCCUUGAGGAGUGGCUUCCGGAGCUAACGCGUUAAGUCGACCGCCUGGGGAGUACGGCCGCAAGGUUAAAACUCAAAUGAAUUGACGGGGGCCCGCACAAGCGGUGGAGCAUGUGGUUUAAUUCGAUGCAACGCGAAGAACCUUACCUACUCUUGACAUCCAGAGAACUUAGCAGAGAUGCUUUGGUGCCUUCGGGAACUCUGAGACAGGUGCUGCAUGGCUGUCGUCAGCUCGUGUUGUGAAAUGUUGGGUUAAGUCCCGCAACGAGCGCAACCCUUAUCCUUUGUUGCCAGCGGUCCGGCCGGGAACUCAAAGGAGACUGCCAGUGAUAAACUGGAGGAAGGUGGGGAUGACGUCAAGUCAUCAUGGCCCCUACGAGUAGGGCUACACACGUGCUACAAUGGCGCAUACAAAGAGAAGCGACCUCGCGAGAGCAAGCGGACCUCAUAAAGUGCGUCGUAGUCCGGA
rnacentral:rRNA from 1 species